AAACCAGUAACUGAUCGCUAA
rnacentral:snRNA from 1 species